AGCGAACGCUGGCGGCAGGCCUAACACAUGCAAGUCGAACGAACUCUUCGGAGUUAGUGGCGGACGGGUGAGUAACACGUGGGAACGUGCCUUUAGGUUCGGAAUAACUCAGGGAAACUUGUGCUAAUACUGAAUGUGCCCUUCGGGGGAAAGAUUUAUCGCCUUUAGAGCGGCCCGCGUCUGAUUAGCUAGUUGGUGAGGUAAAGGCUCACCAAGGCGACGAUCAGUAGCUGGUCUGAGAGGAUGAUCAGCCACAUUGGGACUGAGACACGGCCCAAACUCCUACGGGAGGCAGAAGUGGGGAAUCUUGCGCAAUGGGCGAAAGCCUGACGCAGCCAUGCCGCGUGAAUGAUGAAGGUCUUAGGAUUGUAAAAUUCUUUCACCGGGGACGAUAAUGACGGUACCCGGAGAAGAAGCCCCGGCUAACUUCGUGCCAGCCGCCGCUGUAA
rnacentral:rRNA from 1 species